UGUGGAAUGGAGUAGUUUGGAUAACUCGUCAGGCUCAUGACUUGAAGACCGCAGGUUCAAAUCCUGCUUCCGCAA
rnacentral:tRNA from 1 species